GUGAGCUGUGGUGUAGGUUGCAGACGCGGCUCGGAUCCCGAGUUGCUGUGGCUCUGGCGUAGGCCGGUGGCUACAGCUCCGAUUCAACCCCUAGCCUGGGACCCUCCAUAUGCCGCGGGAGCGGCCCAAGAAAUAGCAACAACAACAACAACAAAAAAAAAAGACAAAAGACAAAAAAAAAUAAAAAAAUAAAAAAAAAAAAGAAAAGAGAACAGAGAACUUUGGGGGCCUCCAUGGAAAGGAACUAGAUAACUGAGGUUCUGAAGGAGGAAAAUUUUUAAUUUUAUAACAUUUUUGUGUUUUGAAUUUUGAUCCAUGAAACAGAUUCAAAUAGAAUUCAUAUGUAUGUGUGUGCACAUAUACAUAUGUAUGUAUGUAUAUAUAUGUAUAUAUAGAUAUACAAGAUAAAUUUAAUUUUAUUGCAGUAUAGUUGACUUACAAUGUGGUAUUAGUUUCAGGUGUGCAACAAGGUGUAUCCGUCAUACAUAUAAAUAUAGCCAUUCUUUUUUCCUAUAUAGUUAUUACAAAUUAUUAAGUAGGUUUUCCUGUGCUGUACAGUAGGUUCUCAUUAAUCAUUUAUUUUAUACAGUAGUGUCUAAUAACACAGUAGUGUUAUUCCUACCUUCCAAUUCUUCCCUCCUCCCAAUGGUUUGAGCUAUGGUAACCCUAAGAUUGGUUUUGGAAUCUGUGGGUUUGUUUUUGUUUUAUAAAUAAGUUCUUUUGCAUCAUUUUUAUUUGAUUCUACAUAUAAGUCAUAUGAUAUCUGUCUUCUUCUGUCUGACUUACUUCACUCACUAUGACAGUCUCUAGGCCCCUCAGUGUAGAGAAAUUAGUUUAAAAAUAUAAACAUAUAAUCUUAAGGCAGUGAGAUAGGUAUUUUACAUUCUUGACUUCUUUUUGUCUAAAGUAUUACCCUUCCAAUUAGAAAAAUCACUAUAUUUUUAAAAUAUCAUGUCAUUUUAAAAAUAGGAACAUACAGACAAUAAGAAGACUAUUUUUUCCUUGCUUUGCUUUUUAAUCGACAUGGUACCAGGCAGUACAUUAAUAGAAGGACUUUAGGAAAAAUCUGCCAGCUAUAUUUUGGCCUGAAAAAUAGAAAACAAAAGCAGUAUUAAACAAUUUUCAUGAUUAUCUUAAAUUCCACUUGUACUAAGUCAAGGAGAAUAAUUUUCUUUCAAUAGAUACAAAUGUAACAACAUGGUUUAAUUCACUUGCUCAAAAUAUAUAACCUAUCAUUCAUUAGGAGGCCAGACAUUAAAACAGACUAUAUGUGCCUACUCUGAAAUUUAGUCUGCUUAGAGUUAGCAGUAGUCCACUACUAUAAUUGUGAAGAAAGAGAUGUCUUGCCAUCACACGGAGAGUAGCGUUAACAAACUAUAUCAUAUCUGAAAGAUUGUCUCUCACAGGAGAGAAAUGAAAUUGAGGGCAGGUAGUUGAACCCUUAUCAGUUCAUUAAUGAACUAGCAAACUCUUCUGUAUAACAGAUAACACCACAGGGCCAACUGAGCUGAAGCCAGCAGCGAUACUAUUGUACGUGAAGCAAAACAUCUCCCACAGGCAUGCUCUAAGAUAAAUCAUGAAAAAGAAAGCUCUGAAUAAUGUGAAUUUUAAUGUUGACUUUGAAAAGAUUUCAUUUUUCUAUAGGAUAAUAUAGGUCAGCAAUAGACCUUUACAGAUUUGCUAGUAUUAAAGGUCCAUAGAAGGAAAUUGCUUAUAUUAAAAAAAAAAAAAAAAAGGCUGCACAAUUUGUAUUCUCUUGAUUUUACAAAGCAGACAACAUAUCAUUCAUGGCCGCAUAUUUAUCUUUAAUAUGCAGCUAUUCAAGAACGAGGUAGUCUAAAUGGGUUUUUCAUUUGGUGGGUUAAAAAUAAAAUCUUGUCAAACUCAGUAGAGAAUUUAUAGAGCACUAGGUAAGAUUGGUUUUGCAUUACAGGUAGAUUUAACUUCCCAAUUUCUUGAGUCAGAUCCAAAUGCUUCCCAGUUCUUCAUCUUCUCCCCCUGUAGCAAUUGGGAUAAAAUUCUUGGCUUAGCUUCAAAAGAGAAAUAAUGCAUUGGUAUUUGAUACUGGGCUUCCAUCAGGAAAACUGAGCCAAAAUCAUGUCUCCAUAACUCCCAGAAUUAUGAAGAAUAUUGAAGUAUCUGGACAGUGGACACUCCCAGAAAUUACCUUGGGCAACUAGAGGAAGAUAUUUCCAAAUGCCCACCAAAGACCCUUUGUCAUGGUUUUAAAAUAUGUGUACAACUUUUUUGACAUUCUUCCCUUAAGAGAUGGGAGCUUUGUCCCCUCCCUCUGAAUCUGGAUGGGUCUCAGUGAUGUGGUACCCACAAGAAUGCUGUGGAAAUGAUGCUGCAUAAUUCUGAGGCUAGGCCAGAAAAAGCCGUGCCGUUUCUGCUUUAUUCUCUUAGGAUGCUCACUCUGGGGAAAGGCAAGUGCCACGUAAGAAAUCUGACUAUUCCUGCUGUGUGGCACUGGGAACUAUGUCUGGUCACUUAUGAUAGAGCAUGAUAAUGUGAGGUAAAAGAAUGUAUACAUGUAUGUGUAAUUGGGUCACCAUGCUAUACAGUGGAAAAUUGACAGAACACUGUAAACCAGCUAUAAUGGAAAAAAACUAAAAUCAUUAUAUAUAUAAAAAAAGAAAAAAAGAAAUCUGACUAUCCCUAAGACCACCAUGCUGGAGACGCUGUGUAUAGGCAGUCAGGUAGACAGCCUUGCUGAGCUCCCAGGCAAUAGUAAGCAGCAACUGCAGCUGGGUGAGUGAGCCAUCUUGGAUGUCCAGCCCAGAUAUCUUUCUCCCAACCAACACCUGUAAUCACAUUAAAGACCCCAAAUAAUAGCUGCCCAACUAAGCUCUUCCCUAUGUCCCUAUUUGGAGAAAUUUAUCACAAGGCAAUAAUAAUCAGAGUACUCCUUUACACAAACCAUGAAAAAACAGAUAAUGACUUAGCUUUUUAAUGUCAACCGUUAUUCUCUAAAAAGCACUUGUAUUUUUCCAGCCUGCUCUGAUACUCCUGAGUUCUCAAUAUUCCAUUGAUACUCACACCUAGAGUUUAGACUGGCCUGGAAAAGAUUAGGCUGAGAUGCCAAUAACUUUAGGAACAAUUGCUGGUCUCAUUUACCAGCCAAUACAAUUGAUUAUUCAUGAAAGCUGAACAAAUGCUACUUUAGCGAGAAUUCAGCACAGAGGAAGCUAUCGUUCAGGGUAUGCUCAAGGGUCUGAGAAUAUUGACUAACUGAAAAUACCUCAUUUGAGCACAGACAUUAUGCUCGUCUUUUCUUAUCCCUAAACAUUUUUCAUUCUCUAUCUAUAUUAUUCAAGGUCAGAAUAAAGUUUAGGGAAUUUUUUUUUUGUAUUGGCCCCAAAACACAACCAUUUCUAAAGCUAAUAACACAGGGCACAUCCAGAGACAGCAGAGUUUAUAAUAAAACUUAGGUAAUGGUCCAUCGUUCAUCCACAUAACUGAUUGUUGCAGGACAUUUAAAGCCCCAAACCUAAAUUUAUCCUGCAGAAAAGUGGGAUGGUUAGAUAGAUUCAAUGAGCUUUACUUCUCACUUGAUUUGCCAAUGAAGUCCAGAACUUCCAGAGAUGGGUGAGCAUUUUUAAAUGAUGAAUGACAAGGCACCUUGACCACAUCCAUUUAGAUAACCUCCACAUAGCGUUAGGAUGAACUCGGGCAAAAAACUCAGACUGAAUUUUACAGUUCUGGGUCCAGUUCACUCAUGACAUUUGUCUCAUCAUAAUGAUAAAUUCUUAAGCAGAUAAGCAGAGGAGCCUUACCUGUAUCUGAGCUAUAGAGCAAUUUUAAGAAUUUUCCCUGAGUUGUAAUAUUCUAUAUGAAUAAUGCACUGCUUCAAAGAUGUUCUGUUGCAGAGAAAAUUCAGAUUUCUUCCUUACAGACAUUUUAAUGAUUUUCAAUCAUCUAACCUCUUCUUAGAUCACUUUCUCUACAUAUGAUGUGAAAUUCAAGUUACUGGUUAAAGAGGUUAUUCAAAAUUAUUCAAAAGAAGAGGUUUAAUCAAAAUUAUAAAUCAGUUUUGGUAGUUGGAAACUUUCAAAUAAAGGACCCUACAUGGUAUCUAUUACAUGCUUAUUACCCUUAAUAAAAUAGGUCAUUUAUUGAGUGCCUAUUGAAUGCCCAUGACAGUUGAUGAAAGAUGGAAUAUACUCUGUUUUCCUGACCCUUUUCAUUGGGAAAAAAGUACCUUUCUUCAUUCAUAGGCCAUAUACAUUUUGUGAGAUAGACCCCACCCCACCCCACCCCCCAUGUUCAAGUAAAGGCAUAUAUAUCCAAUGUUCUGGUCUUGCCAAUCAGAAUAUUAGAAGGGUAUCACAAGUGGCAAGAGAUAAAUAAACAAUUCCUUCAGGAGCCUAGACAUAGGUGAGCACAGGAAGAAUUCCAUGGAGUGUGAAAUUCAGGAGACCAUGUGGGGAAAGGUGAGAGAUAUGGACUUGGAUGCCUGCUGAGGACUUUAGGAUGUUUUCUGGGAGCCAUCAGAGGGCUUUAGAUAGGGAGGAUAUGAGACCAUAUUUGUGCUUUUAUAAAGUAAUACAGUCUGCAUUGUGGAGAAUGAGGAUUUUUUUUUUUUGGUUUUUUGGUUUGAUUUUUUUGCCACGCCUACAGCAGGCAGAAGUUCCAGGGCCAGGGAUCCAACCUGCGCCAGAGCAGCCACCCAAGACACUGCAGUGACAAUGAGGGAUCCAUAACCCACUAUGCCACAGCAGACUUCUGCAGAGAAUGAGUUAUAGAGGCCCAAGAUAGAAUCAGGGGUGACAAAUAAGGAGAUGGCUAUAGCAAUCUCACCAUGUGAUAAUUAUGUCCUGAACAAAGGUUUCCACAAUGCAGAGGAAGAGAAGAAAUGUUAAGGAGACAAGAGCUGAUGCUGAUUGACUAAGGAGAGGAGUGAGGGGAGGGAGAAGACACAGGCUGCUUAUUUGCAAAUCCUGAAUUAUGUUGUAAACAUCUUGGGUUAGGACCCAUGUGUGGUUCUUUUCGGUAUCUCUUACUUAGAGAGGCCUUGUUUGAAUCCAAUAUAGUGUGAUGUUUAAGUAGUAGAUUCCAAAGCCAAAUAGCCUGUGUUUGAGUCCCAGCUCUGCUAAUUAUUGGCUGUGUGACUUAUGUAAAUUUACCAGGCUCUUAUUGCCUCAGUUUCCUCAUCUGCAAAAUGGAAGACAUACCUGUACCAACCCCAUAGAGUUGUUUAUUGAAGGAGCUAGUCCAUGUAUAAUACUAGGAUAGUUCUGGAAUACAGCAAGUACUAUAAAUGUGUUAGCUACUCAUUAACACAGUACAUUCUCAAUAAAUAUUAUAAUAAUCAAUUGACAUUUCUCCCAAACACAUAUAUUCCGGGGAAAAUAAAAAGAUAGUCUUUUGACAUAGUAUUUAUCUUGGUUAUCUGCUCCUUGGUACUGAAAUUAAGAAAAGUUAGUCUACCUUCUGCAUAUAUAUAUAUAUGCACACACAAACACACAUAUAAUGUAUACAUGUGUGUUUAUGUAUAUAUGUUUGCGUGUAUAUGUGUGUGUGUUUAUAUAUACAUACACACAAUAUUUUAACAAGAAAAAAAAAAUGACAGAAUGAAAAAAUAACCGCUAACAGGCCAGAGUCAAAUUGGGAAAAGCAGAAAGCCAGAAGGCAAAAGCUGAAGUACAUGCUAUUUAAUAUCUUUAUUAAUGAUCUGAAGCACAAAGUAAUUUGUACAUUAUUCUUAUUUGCAGAAAAUCAUAAACAGUGAAAAAUAGAGCAACAGUACAGAAUAAUCUAGAGACCUUGGAGAGGCACACAAGUUUAAGUGUGAUGAGUUCAAUUUACAAGAACAUAAAACAAUACACUUUGGGAAAAAUACUAUGAAGCACAGACAUAAACUGAGAAUUCUUCUAAAGAGAGAAAAGGCUUAAGAGGAUUUGGGGGUGAUAGUCAAUAACAAAUUCACAAGAGCUUACAAUGUGCUGCUAGUAAGAAAAAAAAAAAAAAAA
rnacentral:lncRNA from 1 species